rnacentral:lncRNA from 1 species
AGAGAGAGAGCUGUUGUAGGAAGCCGUCGAGUGUCUCAGGCAUUGUGUGUAUGUGUGUGUGUGAGAGAGAGAGAGAGAGAGUUGUUGUAGGAAGGUGGAAGCCAUGUCGGACAGAUUCCCACCUCUAUUGAGGUAAGGACUGUUUGGGUUAAUUUCCCGCGAAAAUUAAUUAAUUAAAUAUUAGUAGAACUUUUUUUUUUAGAUAUAUCACCUUUUUUUUUUUGAGACAUAUUACGUUUUUUUUAGAUAAACAAAAGAAGUUUAUGUCAUAUUGUGUGAUGAACAAACGUAUAUAUAUCUAAAUUCAAGCAUAAUUCAACAACUUAUAAAUACAGAUUUGUUUUUUUGAAUUUGAGUAUUAUUUGACGAAUUUUUAUACGGGUACUUGCCAUGAGUUUUCGUUUAUUUUUUUGUAUUUUUGAGAAACACGAGCACUAUUUUUUAUUUCAUUUUCGUUUAUCCAUUUAUUUUAGAGCUUUUCUAGUUCAACUAAUUCGGUCCUCUUAAUUUUAAUGCGGAAACAAAAUAUAUUUGGCUGAAGUGUUUUCAAAUAUUUAGGUACAAAUCAUUCCAAUUCAUUUAAAACACAUUUAUUGAACAGAAUUACUACACUAUGUUCCCAAAAUUUAUCAUGUAAACUCUAAAAACUUGGCUAGAUAUAUAAUAAUACUAGUAAUGCACCAUCUCCCUUGACCCAAUAGGAAAGCUUCCUUCUCUCCCUGACCUCUCCACUCUAUCCGCCAUUAACACUCACAACAAAUUCACAUAAGCAUAAAAAAAUAAUAGUAAACAGAAAAUGACCAUGGAUCCUUCAGCUUGAAGAAGCAGCAGCAACCUC